rnacentral:rRNA from 1 species
UACGUGAGGGGCAAACGUUGUUCGGUGUCACUGGGCUUAAAGGGUGCGUAGGUGGCUAUGUAAGUAAGGUGUGAAAGCCCUCGGCUUACCCGGGGAAUUGCGCCUUAAACUGCAUAGCUUGAGGGUCAGAGAGGUUGGAGGAACUCCAGGUGUAGCGGUGAAAUGCGUAGAUAUCUGGGGGAAGGCCGGCGGCGAAGGCGGCAUCCUGGACCGACACUGACGCUGAGGAGCGAAAGCCAGGGGAGCAAACGGG